ACACGCAGCUUACCCCUGCCUCCUCCCUCCGGCACCUCCUCGGCCCUUCUGGGUUUUGCAGCUCUCGCUGGGACUGUUGCCUCUGUGAGCAGUGACGUUAGCAGCAGGGGCUGCCCUUGGUGGGUCCCGCGUGGGUGCCAGGCUGGAGGUCUCUGUCCCCCAGAGCUCGCGAUUACUGCAGUCACUCCACUGCUUCCUUGUCAGCAACAGGAGGACUGAAUGAGACGGGUUCUGGGUGGAAAAGGAAAAGGUUUUGAAGGUGGGUGAGCUGCUGGGAGCUGCUGCCGUUCAGUGCAGGUGUUCUGCAUAAGGGUAAGAG